AAUCGUUCAAUAGCUUCCAGGUCAUGUGACCCAUUGACAUUAGCUUUCUUUUAUGAUUUUGUAGGUCAAGUUUGACAACUAUGAAGCCCUUCUGUCAUUUCUGCUGGUGAACAACAACCACUGGAAGUUGCUGUAUAUCAAUACAGAAGCCAGUACAGUCUUCCUAAUGAAUCCUGCACAACUGUCAUCAGAACUUGAGGACUCCAAAAAGGCUGCUGGAAGAAUACAGGAAUACUUCAAGAUGAGAAGGACAUGCCAUGGAAAAACAGACUGGGUUGGGAUCCAUUGGAAAGGGGGGGCUAUGUGCCACCCUAUCCAACAAGAUGGAAACAACUGUGGAGUCAUUGUAGUCAAAAUGGCAAAAGCAUUGAUGGAAGCAUUUCCUCUGCUGCCAGAUGUUAAGUUUGACACAAGUAAGAAGGCAAUGAAAGGCGAAAGAAAAGCACUGGCUCUUCAAAUCCUUGAUGCAUCAGUGUUUGAUGACAACACCUGUUGCUCAAUGUGUGCUGGUAGCAAACCCCCUGUGUCUGGGCCCCACAUCACCGACUGGAUCCAGUGUGACGACUGUGAUCGAUGGUUCCAUGCCAUAUGCUUAAAUAUGACGAAGAAAGACUUUGAUACAACCAAGAAGGGAUGCUGGAAAUGCCCAUUGUGCAAUUAAAAGAUCCAGUGAUAUGACAGUGAUCGAUGGUUGUGGCUUGUGCUUGAACAAGAAAAAGGAAGACUUUGAUUAAACCAAGAAGGGCAGCUGGAAAUGCUCAUUGUGUUACUAAAUGGCAAAUAAUCCUCUAAUAAAUGUUGACAGUUUAUUUUGAAAAUGGUGCUGCAACUUGUUUUGUUUCGCAUGAGAUCGAUUAAAGAUUUAUCCUAUAUUAAUAUUACAGAAUUACAACAAAAACAGAAAUAAAAUUUCAGUAACUAGGAUAAAAAUGAGUGUGCCUCAUCUGUGGAGACUAGGAGAACAGUUUAAGAUGGAUUUUGUGUCAAUGGGUCACAUGACCUGGAAGCUAUUGAAGGAUAAUCAGAAAUUCUGGAUAAGAAAAAUGGCUAAAAACACGUCAAAAAAAUACAGCAAAAUCACUCAAAAAUCUGGUAAUUUAGCAGAUUCAUUUAAUUUUGUUGCAUGAUAUUUCAUUGAUUUUGUGAGAGUUGGUAACAAGAGAGGACAGCUAUAAGUUUUGUUUCUGAAGAGUGAUGGUUCAAAAUUUAUUGACAGUCCCUAAGUCAACAACCACAGCGCGAAUAUCCAAUAUCCAACUUGAAACUAACUUCACCGCAGUCUGCUGA